rnacentral:rRNA from 1 species
CUAGGAUUAGAUACCCUAUUAUUUAAAAUUUAAAAACUAAAGUAUUAAUAGUUAUGUGCUUUAAAUUUAAAAAAUUUGGCGGUAUUUUAGUCUGUUCAGAGGAACCUGUUUUAUAAUCGAUAUUCCACGUUGGACCUUACUUUAAUUUAUAAAUUAGUUUAUAUACCGUCGUUAUAAAAAAUUUUAUAAGAAUAAUAAUUUUUAAAAUUAAAUAUCAGAUCAAGGUGUAGCUUAUAUUAAAGAAAAUAAUGGGUUACAAUAAAUUUAUUUAUAUGGAAAUAAAUAUGAAAAAUUUAUAAAAAGUGGAUUUGAAAGUAAAAUUAUAAAGAUUAAUAAUUUGAUUUUAGCUCUAAAAUAUGUACAUAUCGCCCGUCACUCUUAUUAUUAAAAUAAGAUAAG